rnacentral:lncRNA from 1 species
CUUGCCACACGAAUUUAAAGCGCAUAGAAAUAUGAUAGAAAUUCAGAAAAGUACAGUCCCUAAGGUGUGCUCCAUGUCUGGGCAAAAAAAUACACUCAAUCUGGUCAUGCAAUCUUCUCUGCAAGUUUUGCUACAUACAGUAUCUAUAUUUCGAUUGGAAACAGUCUCUCUGCCAUUUCGGGUAGGGGUAAGGCUCGUCUACAUAUUACCCUCUCCAGAUCUCACUUUGUGGGACUAUACGGUGUAGUUACAGUAUGUAUAUUUCACUUGAAAUACACAAUUUGCCAGCUCUUGCAAAAACUUGUUUUUUCUCUUAUGGAAUAUUUAUUAUUCGUUGAUGGAGUCUAAAGCUUAUGCCGCAGAAGCUGUUAUCAAGCAAUUGGCUUAUUUGAAACAUCAAUGGUUUUACAUUUACAUAAUCCUAACAAAACUUCCUAUUCCAUUCAACCUUUUUUAACUAUCUAGGUGACAUUGUGGAGUAACUGCAUGUAGCAUUAGAUGAUGGAUGAGUAGUAAUAGUAAAGGAACUGAAUUGAUUGAGCUCCCUUUUCAUAGAUCUGUAUACAUGAUCUAAGCCUUCUUCUAUUAGCUCUAAAACUGUCUGUGGCAUUGGAGGUAUAUUAAUGUCAACUGAUCCUUCCAACAUCUUCACCACUUCCCCCUUAGUAGGCCUCGUCGAAACCUCAUCCGUCUGUGGCAUUGGAGGCAUAUUAAUGUCAACUGAUCCUUCCAACAUCUUCACCACUUCCCCCAUCGUAGGCCUCGUCGAAACUUCAUCCUGAAUACACCAAAAAGCUGCCAUUAAAGCUCUCAUUACCUCUUCUUUCUCGAUUGCUCCUUCC